rfam:Lactococcus lactis subsp. lactis Il1403, complete genome.
UGAGUGUUAUGAUGUUGGCGGGGGUUUCUGUGGGUGCAUGUGUUGAGUUGUGAUUGACUCUCUUUCGCAUCAGCCUUGCUUAUAGUCUAGCUCUGUCUGAUUAGAUUAAAUUUCUAAUCUAGU